rnacentral:rRNA from 1 species
GAUGAACGCUGGCGGCGUGCCUAAUACAUGCAAGUCGAGCGAACGGACGAGAAGCUUGCUUCUCUGAUGUUAGCGGCGGACGGGUGAGUAACACGUGGAUAACCUACCUAUAAGACUGGGAUAACUUCGGGAAACCGGAGCUAAUACCGGAUAAUAUUUUGAACCGCAUGGUUCAAAAGUGAAAGACGGUCUUGCUGUCACUUAUAGAUGGAUCCGCGCUGCAUUAGCUAGUUGGUAAGGUAACGGCUUACCAAGGCAACGAUGCAUAGCCGACCUGAGAGGGUGAUCGGCCACACUGGAACUGAGACACGGUCCAGACUCCUACGGGAGGCAGCAGUAGGGAAUCUUCCGCAAUGGGCGAAAGCCUGACGGAGCAACGCCGCGUGAGUGAUGAAGGUCUUCGGAUCGUAAAACUCUGUUAUUAGGGAAGAACUUAUGUGUAAGUAACUGUGCACAUCUUGACGGUACCUAAUCAGAAAGCCACGGCUAACUACGUGCCAGCAGCCGCGGUAAUACGUAGGUGGCAAGCGUUAUCCGGAAUUAUUGGGCGUAAAGCGCGCGUAGGCGGUUUUUUAAGUCUGAUGUGAAAGCCCACGGCUCAACCGUGGAGGGUCAUUGGAAACUGGAAAACUUGAGUGCAGAAGAGGAAAGUGGAAUUCCAUGUGUAGCGGUGAAAUGCGCAGAGAUAUGGAGGAACACCAGUGGCGAAGGCGACUUUCUGGUCUGUAACUGACGCUGAUGUGCGAAAGCGUGGGGAUCAAACAGGAUUAGAUACCCUGGUAGUCCACGCCGUAAACGAUGAGUGCUAAGUGUUAGGGGGUUUCCGCCCCUUAGUGCUGCAGCUAACGCAUUAAGCACUCCGCCUGGGGAGUACGACCGCAAGGUUGAAACUCAAAGGAAUUGACGGGGACCCGCACAAGCGGUGGAGCAUGUGGUUUAAUUCGAAGCAACGCGAAGAACCUUACCAAAUCUUGACAUCCUUUGACAACUCUAGAGAUAGAGCCUUCCCCUUCGGGGGACAAAGUGACAGGUGGUGCAUGGUUGUCGUCAGCUCGUGUCGUGAGAUGUUGGGUUAAGUCCCGCAACGAGCGCAACCCUUAAGCUUAGUUGCCAUCAUUAAGUUGGGCACUCUAAGUUGACUGCCGGUGACAAACCGGAGGAAGGUGGGGAUGACGUCAAAUCAUCAUGCCCCUUAUGAUUUGGGCUACACACGUGCUACAAUGGACAAUACAAAGGGCAGCGAAACCGCGAGGUCAAGCAAAUCCCAUAAAGUUGUUCUCAGUUCGGAUUGUAGUCUGCAACUCGACUACAUGAAGCUGGAAUCGCUAGUAAUCGUAGAUCAGCAUGCUACGGUGAAUACGUUCCCGGGUCU